ACGCUGGCGGCGUGCCUAAUACAUGCAAGUAGAACGCUGAAAGAGGAGCUUGCUUCUCUGGAUGAGUUGCGAACGGGUGAGUAACGCGUAGGUAACCUGCCUGGUAGCGGGGGAUAACUAUUGGAAACGAUAGCUAAUACCGCAUAAGAGUAGAUGUUGCAUGACAUUUGCUUAAAAGGUGCAAUUGCAUCACUACCAGAUGGACCUGCGUUGUAUUAGCUAGUUGGUGGGGUAACGGCUCACCAAGGCGACGAUACAUAGCCGACCUGAGAGGGUGAUCGGCCACACUGAGACUGAGACACGGCCCAGACUCCUACGGGAGGCAGCAGUAGGGAAUCUUCGGCAAUGGACGGAAGUCUGACCGAGCAACGCCGCGUGAGUGAAGAAGGUUUUCGGAUCGUAAAGCUCUGUUGUAAGAGAAGAACGAGUGUGAGAGUGGAAAGUUCACACUGUGACGGUAUCUUACCAGAAAGGGACGGCUAACUACGUGCCAGCAGCCGCGGUAAUACGUAGGUCCCGAGCGUUGUCCGGAUUUAUUGAGCGUAAAGCGAGCGCAGGCGGUUAGAUAAGUCUGAAGUUAAAGGCUGUGGCUUAACCAUAGUACGCUUUGGAAACUGUUUAACUUGAGUGCAAGAGGGGAGAGUGGAAUUCCAUGUGUAGCGGUGAAAUGCGUAGAUAUAUGGAGGAACACCGGUGGCGAAAGCGGCUCUCUGGCUUGUAACUGACGCUGAGGCUCGAAAGCGUGGGGAGCAAACAGGAUUAGAUACCCUGGUAGUCCACGCCGUAAACGAUGAGUGCUAGGUGUUAGACCCUUUCCGGGGUUUAGUGCCGCAGCUAACGCAUUAAGCACUCCGCCUGGGGAGUACGACCGCAAGGUUGAAACUCAAAGGAAUUGACGGGGCCCGCACAA
rnacentral:rRNA from 1 species